rnacentral:ncRNA from 1 species
UGCUAGGGGCGCUUAUGCUGAGAGGAUUCUUCAUAGAACCAACCCUUCUCACCUGAUCAGGUUAAUACCUGCGUAGGGAAGCA